GGCCUGCUAGCUCAGUCGGUUAGAGCGUCGUUCUAAUAACGCGAAGGUCGUAGGUUCGAUCGCUGCGCAGGCCA
rnacentral:tRNA from 1 species